ACAAUUAUUCACACGAGGAGGUGGAUUUUUAAAAGAAAUUAUUCACACAAAUUAAUUCUAUGAAUUAAAAUUACUUACCUCCCCGGCAACGGCGCCAAAAACUUGUUGUGCAAAUUUUAAUGUACUCGCAAGCGCACGAAUCUAUUGUAGUAUAGAUCAAUAGUGACGAGUGUCGAUCCCACGAGGAGGUGGAUUUUAAUUAUAUGUAGAAUUAAUUUUGUAAAUGGGUGGUUGAAAUUGUGAUGGAAGUGAUUUAAAUUAUCCUAAAAUUGGAAUUGCAAUGGCGAGAAUAAAUUGAAGCAAAAUCUAUUGAAAUGACGUACUUGGGUAUCUGGAUCCGUAUCAACAUGCAUCAUGGGCUAAAUAAUCCGUAUUAAUGCCAAUUAAAUCAUGAGGGGGGAAUCCACACCUCAUGAACCACGCUCUAAUCAAUAUGGUGCUAAGGGCUUAUCGUGUCAAAUAAUAAUAACCUUGUACUAGAGGGCCGGUGAAACCAAGGCGGUACUAGACAAGAAUAUUAUUAUUUGUCGAUGAGAAGUCAAAACAUCCACAAAAACUAGAGGGGAAGAGAAAAUAAAUUUACCAAAUUAAGCCCAUGACACAUGUUGAGACUUCACCUUCAACCCAAGCUUGAAAGAAAAUUAGCCACUCAUAAUUGAACUAGGGGUAAAAUGGAAAUUUAUUAAAAUAUGAAGAAAAUACAAGAUGGAGAAGGAAUUACAGAAAAUGGAUCCCAAAAAUAGAUUCAGAGAUAUCAAAUUAGGGGGGAGAGGCCCCCUUUUUAUAGAUACAUGGAGUAAAUCAUGGCCAUCGGAUUAAAAACAGUUUGGACGCUCAGGAUUGCUCCACGUCAUCAAUCAACAGUACGCGAUUUGACCACGCGGAUGAACAGUAACACGGUUUGACCUGGAUGAAUAGUAACGCGGUUUGACCCGGAUUAACAGUAACGCGGUUUGGUUGAAAAUAAUCCUGUGUGAUGCAUAUACCAUACGCGAGAUUUUUCGUCCACUGAUAUGCUGCCACGUCACCAUCAACAGUACAUAAGAAUUUUAGCCCAACAGGAUCGUAACACCUCAUCAGUCAAUGCCACAUCAUCGGUCAAUGCCACGUCAUCGAUCCGUCUAUGUGAACAGUGCCGUGAACAGUAACGUAUACGGUACCGUACAUGUGAAUAGUACCGUACAUGUGAACAGUGCCAUUUUUCCUUUUAUGCUCCUCCUAAGGUUUUCGACCGUCCUGAGUUCAAAAGUGAUGUCCGUUUUGCCAUCUGAUCUCUCGUUUAUUGUGAAAUGACUAUGAUGCCCUUAAAAUACAUAAAAUACUUAAUUAAAAUAAAACAAACGGAAUUAAAUCAAAAGAAGGUUAAAUUCAUAAAAGUAAAGGUGUUAGUAAGACUUGAAAUGUAAAAUGACGGUUUUCUCCUUUAUAAAUAUGCAUUUUCUAACACUCAACAACACCGUUCUUUGGGUCUUUAAUUUCAAUUGCCCCAUGUGGAAAAACAGUAUGAACAAUAAAGGGGUCAAACCAUCGAGAUCGUAACUUACCUGAGAAUAGGUGUAAGCGAAAAUUGAACAAAAGCACUUUCUGACCUGGAAUGAACAAUUUUCUCAUAAUUUUCUUGUCAUGAAAGACUUUCAUUCGUUGCUUGUAAAUCUUGACGUUUUCAUAUGCGUCAUUACGAAUUUCUUCAAGUUUUGCCAGUUGCAAUUUUCUUUCUGAGUUGGCUUGCUGCAUGUCAAAGUUGAAUUUCUUGAUGGCCCAAUAUGCACGAUGCUCGAGUUCCACAGGUAGGUGGCAAGCUUUUCCAUACACUAGCCUGUAGGGUGACAUACCAAUCGGGGUCUUGAAAGCCGUUCUAUAUGCCCAUAAUGCAUCAUCAAGUCUUAAUGACCAAUCUUUUCUUUCUGGCCUCACCGUCUUUUCUAAUAUGUGCUUUAUUUGUCGAUUGGAGAUCUCAACUUGGCCACUAGUUUGCGGAUGAUAUGGGGUUGCCACUUUGUGUGUGAUGGAAUACUUUGUCAAAAGAGCUUUGAAUGCUUUGUUACAAAAGUGGGCACCACCAUCACUGAUUAUUGCUCGAGGGAAUCCAAAGCGCAAAACAAUGUUGCUUUUCAAAAAUCCUAUUACCACCUUGUGAUCAUUGGUCCUGCAUGGAAUUGUUCUACCUAUUUCGAUACGUAGUCAACAGCAACCAAUAUCUAUUGAUGGCCAAAAGAAGGGGGAAAGGGUCCCAUAAAGUUGAUACCCUAUACAUAAAAAAUCUCAACCACUAAAAUUGGAUUUAGUGGCAUCAUGUUCCUUCGUGUAAUGCUCCCCAUUCGAAGACACCUAUCACAUAAAGAACAGAAAGUGUAAGCGUCUCGAAAUAUAGUUGGCCAAUAAAAACCACAUUGUAAAACUUUAGUCGUUGUUUUCUUAGCACUGAAAUGACCUCCACAAGCUUGUUCAUGGCAGAAUGAAAGAAUAUUCUGAAUUUCACUUUUUGGAACACAUCAUCUAACGAUUUGAUCUACACAAUACUUGAACAAAUACGGGUCAUGCCAAAAGAAAUUCUUUAUAUCCGCAAAGAAUUUAGCCUUGUCUUGCUUGGUCCAAUGCUCUGGAAGUUGACCUGUAACAAGAUAAUUAACGAUAUCAGCAUACCAUGGUAAUACUUCCACACUCAUCAAUUGUUCAUCUAGGAAUGACUCAUUCAAUGGUAAUGAUUCCAUAAUUGUGUCAAAAUGGAGACGAGAGAGAUGGUCAGCUACAACAUUCUCUGUGCCUUUCUUAUCUUUAAAUUCCAAAUCGAACUCCUGCAAAAGUAACACCCAACGAAUUAGUCUAGCUUUUGCAUCUUUCUUUGUGAGAAGAUAUUUAAGAGCAGCAUGAUCUGUGAAUAUAAUUAUUUUAUAACCAAUGACAUAAGAUCGAAUUUUUCCAAUGCAAACACUACUGCUAGCAUUUCUUUUUCAGUAGUUGAAUAGUUCAUCUGUGCAUCAUUCAAUGUCAUACUAGCAUAGUAAAUAACAUGGGAAAUUUGAUCAACUCUUUGUCCUAAUACUGCUCCUACUGCAUAAUCAGAUGUAUCACACAUGAGUUCAAAUGGUAGGCUCCAGUUUGGGGGCUGAAUGAUGGGUGAUGAUGUCAAUGUUGAGUGUUAGAAAAUGCAUAUUUAUAAAGGAGAAAACCGUCAUUUUACAUUUAAGUCUUACUAACAACCCUUACUUUUAUGUAUUUAACCUUCUUGUGAUUUAAUUACAUGUGUUUUAUUUUAAUUAAGUAUUUUAUGUAUUUUAGGGGCAUUAUAGUCAUUUCACAAUAAAUGAGAGAUCAAACGGCAAAACGGACAUCAAUUUUGAACUUAGGACGGUCGAAAACCUUAGGAGGAGCAUAAAAGGAAAAAUGGCACUAUUCACAUGUAUGGUACUGUCUACGUUACUGUUCACGACACUGUUCACCUAGACGGAUCAAUGACGUGGCAUUGACCGAUGAUGUGGCAUUGACUGAUGAGGUGUCAUGAUCCUGUUGGACUAAAAUUAUUAUGUACUGUUGAUGGUGACGUGGCAGCAUAUCAGUGGACGAAAAAUCUCACGUACGGUACAUGCAUCACACAGGAUUAUUUUCAACCAAACCGUGUUACUGUUCAACCCGGGUCAAACCGUGUUACUGUUCAUCCAUGUGGUCAAACCGCGUACUGUUGACUGAUGACGUGGCGCAAUCAUGAGCGUCUAAACUGUUUUUAAUCCGAUGGCCAUGAUUUACUCCAUGUAUCUAUAAAAAAGGGGGCCUCUCCCCCCUAAUUUGAUAUCUCUGAAUCUAUUUUUGGGAUCCAUUUUUUAUAAUUCAUUCUCCAUCUUGUAUUUUCUUUGUAUUUUAAUAAAUUUUCAUUUUACCCCUAGUUCAAUUAUGAGUAGCUAAUUUUCUUUCAAGCUUGGGUUGAAGGUGAAGUCUCAAUAUGUGUUAUGGGCUUAAUUUGGUAAAUUUAUUUUCUCUUCCCCUCUAGUUUUUGUGGAUGUUUUGACUUCUCGUCGACAAAUAAUAAUAAUCUUGUCUAGAUACCGCCUUGGUUACACCGGCUCUCUAGUAUAAGGUUAUUAUUAUUUGGCACGAUAAGACAUAAGCCCUUAGCACCAUAUUGAUUAGAGCGUGGUUCAUGAGGUGUGGACUCCCCUCUCAUGAUUUAAUUGGCAUUAAUAAGGAUUAUUUAGCCCAUGAUGCAUGUUGAUACGGAUCCAGAUACCCAAGUACGUCAUUUCAAUAUAAUUCUCUUCAAUUUAUUCUCGCCAUUUCAAUUCCAAUUUUAAAAUUUAUUCUCGUCAUUUUAUUUUAAGUUUUAGCAUAUUCCAAAUCAUUUCCACCACAAAUCCAAUCACUCAUUUACAAAAUUAAUUCUACACAGAAUUAAAAUCCACCUCCUCGUAGGAUCGACAUUCGUCACCAUUGAUCUAUAGUACAAUAGAUUCGUGCGCUUGCGAGUUCAAUAAAAUUUGCACAACAAGUUUUUGGCGCCGUUGCCGGGGAGGUAAGUUAUUUUAAUUCGUAGAAUUAAUUUUUGUGAUUAAUUUCUUUUAAUUUUUUUUUGUAAUUUUUUUUAUUAAAAAAAAGUGAAUCUACAUUUAAAGGUUAGUAUUUCUUUUCUUUUUCUCUUCUUUAAAAUUCUGUAAUUUAAUUUUCAAUUUAUUUUUCUUUGUAAAUUUUUUUUUGUUUAUCUUAUUAAUUUAUUUUUAGUUAAUUUAUUUUCACGUUUUUUUUGGUGUGUUUUAUAGUAAGGUUGUAACAGUUUGAUAAGGUUAGUAUCGUAAUUUCUCUUUUUUCUUUAUUUUUAUUCGUUUUGUUCCCAUUUAUUUUUGUGUUCCUUGCAUGCAUGGUCGUAGGUCAUUAUUUCCUAAUCUUGAACCAUAGACCUUGAAUUAGAAAAAAACAUUUCGCACACACAAACAAGUUAAAAAUAAAAUGGAUUUGCAACCACAGGAGAGGCCAUUUAAGGACUACUUCAGUCCUUUAGCUAAUUUGAGCACAUCAUGCAUAAGAUACCCAAAUGUAGCUGCUAGGAGUUUUGAACUAAAACCUAGUGUGCUAAAUUGUCUCCCAACAUUCUAUGGCCUAGAAAAUGAGGACCCAUAUAAUCAUUUGAAUGAUUUUCAUGCUAUUUGUCAAACAUUUAAAUAUGAGAAUUUUUCAGAUGAUGAUGUAAAACUUAGAUUAUUCUCAUUUUCUUUAAAAGAUAGAGCUCGUUCAUGGCUUAAUACAUUGCCUGCUAAUAGCAUUACAUCAUGGGAACAAAUGGUAACAAAAUUUCUGAAUAAAUAUUUCCCAGUGUAUAAAACCAAUGCUAUUCAUAGGGAAAUCUCAGAGUUUACCCAGAGAGAUGACGAACAGUUUUUCGACACGUGGGAGCGAUUCAAUGGGCUACUCUUGAAGUGUUCACAUCAUAGGUACGAGAAAUGGCACCAAUGCCAUUACGUUUUGGAGGGAUUAUUGCCGAAUGUGCAAGAAUGGCUAAUGGCAACAAGUGGAGGAGAACUAAUGUCAAAAAGUGCAUCAGAGAUUUGGGAAUUCUUCCAGCGACAAGCGGAUAAUUCCCAACAACGGAGUCGAUCACUUAGGAAUACUAGAAGAAUUAAAGGAGUAAAUGAGGUUCACAUUGGCGAGUCAACUUCGGGAAUCAAAUAAGUCAAGGAGAUGGUUGAAGGUCUUGCUCGACAAAUAGCAUCGUUAUCGACUGCUAAAUCAACAGAGCCACAUGACCAUGACUCAUACUCAGAUCAAGCCAAUGCCAUAGGUGUAAUGAGAAAGCCAUCAAAUUACAACCCAUACUCCAACACAUACAACCCUGGAUGGAGAGACCACCCCAAUUUUUCAUGGUCUCAUGGAUUCCAACAGAAUGGAUCAGUAGCUCCAGCUCCACCAAUGCAACCAAUUCCUCAAAAUCCUCAAGCCUCUCAGCCCCCAUUUAAACUAUUCAAUCAGAACCAGAACUACUCUCAACCUAGACCAUGGGAGGAUGCAUUCCAAAAUUUCAGGAAUGUUACUCACUCCACGAUUGAGCAACAGAACCGCACCAUUGAUGGACUAUGAAAUGAGUUGAGAGCAGGCUUCAAUUCACAAGCCCAAUCAGUUUCAAGCCUUGAAAAGAUGGUGGGACAACUUACUUCUUCAGUUCAGACCUUGGCAAUGACUGUUGAGAAAGGUAAAUUUCCAAGUCAACCAGUGCCUAAUCCUAAAGGAGUACAUGAAGCAAGUACCAGUUCACCACAGCAGCAUGGAGAGGUCAAAGCAGUCAUGACCAUGCGAAAAGGAAAAGAAGUCGACAACAAAGUGGAGAUGCCGGUGAUAAAAGAAAAUCAAAUUGUACCUGUGAAUGUUGAUAACUCACCACCGGAUGAGAAAGAAGAAACCAACCCACGAGAAUAUGUUCCCAAAGCUCCAUUUCCUCAAAGGUUAGCGAAAGGAAAGAAGGGAAAAUCCACAGGUGAGAUUCUUGAAAUCUUCAAACAGGUAAGUGUUAACAUCCCUUUACUUGAUGCAAUUAAACAAGUUCCAUCUUAUGCCAAGUUUUUUAAAGACCUUUGUACUAAAAAGAGAAACAUUCAUGCUCAAAAGAAGGCAUUUUUAACAGAAAACGUUAGUUCUAUACUCCAACAUAAAAUUCCUCUAAAAUGCAAAGACCUAGGCUCCCCUACUAUCUCAUGUAGCAUAGGGAACCACACAAUUGAGAAUGCUUUAUUAGAUUUAGGAGCUAGUGUAAAUCUGUUGCCUUACUCAGUAUUUUUGAAACUUGGACUUGGAGAAUUACACCCAACUCCAGUGGUGUUACAGCUUACAGACCAGUCCACGAAAAUACCUCGUGGUAUUGCGGAGGACGUGCUUAUCCAGGUAGACAGGUUUUAUUUUCCUGUUGAUUUCAUUGUAAUUGACACUCAACCAAUACAGGAUUUAAGGAAGCACAUCCCCAUUAUUCUGAGCCAACCUUUCUUGGCAACUGCGGAUGCUCACAUUCAAUGCAGGACUGGAAAUAUGCAGUUGUCCUUCGGCAACAUGACUAUGGAGCUGAAUAUCUUCAACAUUGCCAAACAACCUCACAAUGCAGAUGAUGGAAUUGUUGAUGUGGAUUUAAUUGAAGCAUUAGUUGAUGACACUUUUGUUUCAAACCUUAGUGAUGAUCCUUUACAAGCGUGUUUAACUCACUUUGGUUUUGAUUUUGAUAUUGACAGAUCUGUUGAUGAGGUCAACGCCCUGCUUGACUCAGCACCAUCUAUGGACACUAAUAAAUGGAAGUCAAGAGUUGAACAAUUAGCACCAUUAGAGAAGAAACUCAUCCCAUCAUCAGAAUCACCACCAAAACUCGAGCUCAAACCAUUGCCCAACACAUUGGCAUAUGCAUUUUUGGGAGAAGAAAGUACUCUACCGGUAAUCAUCUCAUCAUCCCUAAAUGACGAACAAAAAGGUAAGUUGUUGGAUGUUUUGAAAGAGCACAAAGGGGCAUUAGGAUGCACUAUAGCAGACAUAAAAGGUAUAAACCCAGUAGAUUGCAUGCAUUACAUUCACCUUGAUGAAAAUGCUAAAUCUACUAGGAAAUGCAUCGUCGGUUAAAUCCUAAUAUGAAAGAAGUUGUUAGAACUGAAGUCCUUAAGCUAUUAGAUGCAGGUAUCAUUUACCCAAUUUCUGAUAGUUCGUGGGUCAGUCCUGUACAAGUUGUCCCCAAAAAGUCAGGAGUCACAAUAGUUACGAAUACUGAUAAUGAAUUGAUACCCACUAGAGUGACUACAAGAUGGCGUGUAUGCAUUGAUUAUAGAAAGUUGAAUUCUGUCACACGUAAAUACCAUUUUCCUUUGCCAUUUAUCAAUCAAAUGCUUGAUAGAUUAGCAGGCCAUGAAUUUUAUUGCUUUCUAGAUGGCUACUCAGGAUAUAAUCAAAUUCCCAUAGCACCAAAAGAUCAAGAGAAAACCACUUUCACUUGCCCUUUUGGCACUUUUGCAUAUAGGAGGAUGCCAUUUGGAUUAUGUAAUGCACCUGCUACAUUUCAACGAUGCAUGUUAAGCAUUUUUUCUGAUAUGGUUGAACGAUUCCUUGAAGUCUUUAUGGAUGAUUUUUCUAUCUUUGGUGACUCGUUUGAUCAAUGUUUACAUCAUCUAACACUAGUUCUGUAGAGAUGUGUCCAGAAGAACUUGAUCAAACCUUGCAAAAUCUUCAUAAACAACCUAGGACCCUUAGAGACUUCAUGCAUCCUACUAGAACAUGUCACCAUCAUGCAUAUUUUUCCCUCCUGAUGCAUCACGUUUUAAUUUCAAGCCUGGUAUCAUUCAACUUUUGCCUACCUUUCAUGGUUUUGAGUCUCAAAAUCCAUAUUUGCAUUUAAGGGAAUUUGAGGAAGUCUGUAACACCUGUACUGAUCAAAAUUGUAGCAUGAAUAUAAUUAGACUUAAGUUUUUUCCUUUCUCACUAAAAGAUAAAACUAAAACUUGGCUACAAAAUCUUAGGUCAAAAUCCAUCAGAACAUGGGAUUAAAUGCAAGCACAAUUUUUGAAAAAAUUCUUCCCACCCUACAGAACAAAUUCUUUCAAAAGACAAAUCACCACUUUCACUCAAAAACCAGGAGAAACUCUCUACCAAUGUUGGGAUAGGUUUAAAGAACUACUUAACAUUUGCCCACAUCACGGUUUUGAAACAUGGAGAUUAGUGUCUUAGUUCACUUGGAAUUUUAUAAUAUCAACUUGAAAUUUAACUGAAAGUAUUAGUAGUUAAGGAUUUUAAUAGAAAUAUUAAAUAGAAACAAUUAGUUAACAAGUUAAAACAAGUAAACCUAUAAUUGAGUAUGUUUAACUAAAAUUAGGGGCUAAUUUAACAAAAAGUUAAACAAUAGAAAGUAAAUUUGGCAUUUAACCCAAAUAGUUAAAAUUUUACCAAGUUAUUGGAAAUACUGAAACAAAAGUAUUGAAAUAAUAGUUGAAACACAUAAGUUAAAAAGGGAUAAAAUAUUAACCAAAUUCUAAUUUUAAAACUCAUCCAAUAAGAAAUGAAUUUACUUAGAAUUUAACAAAAAGUAUUGGUAUUUAAUGAACUUAAUAUGAACAUUAAACGCAUAGCUGGUAGAUUUAUAAGUUAGAAAUAUGUAAACCUAGAAGUAAGAAGGUUUAACCAAAAUUAAGGAAUAAAAAAAUAUAUAAAAAAGUCCAAUUGGUAUUUAACCUAAAUAAUUGCAACCUUACCUAAUUAGUAGGAAUAUUCGACAAAAAAAUAGUGGAAUAAUUAGUUGAACCAUAUGAACUUAGAAGGGAGACAAUUUAAGCAAAAUUAGGAACUUAUCCAAUGGGAAUGAAUAUUAUUUGGAAUCUAACCCAAAAUUGGCAUUAAAUGAAUGUAGUAGGAAUAUAAAACAUAAAACUGGCAAACUACUAAUUAAGUUGAAGCUUGUGGGCCUAUAAGUGAGAAAAUUUAACCAAAAUUAGAGACCAGUUUAACCAAAAAUAAAAUUAUAAAAAUAAAAUUUGGUGCUUAACCUCAAUAAUUAGAAUCUUAUUAAGUUAAUAGAAGUAUUCAACACAAAAAUAUGGAAAUUAGUAGUUGAAACUGGACACCAUAAGAGAGAAAGUUCAAGUAAAAUUUGGAACUCAUCCACCAGAAAUAAAUUUAACUUGCAAUCUAAUCAAAAUAUUGGUAUUGAAUGAAUAUAGUAGGAACAUCAAACACAAAACUAGAGGACUAAUAUGNNNNNNNNNNNNNNNNNNNNNNNNNNNNNNNNNNNNNNNNNNNNNNNNNNNNNNNNNNNNNNNNNNNNNNNNNNNNNNNNNNNNNNNNNNNNNNNNNNNNNNNNNNNNNNNNNNNNNNNNNNNNNNNNNNNNNNNNNNNNNNNNNNNNNNNNNNNNNNNNNNNNNNNNNNNNNNNNNNNNNNNNNNNNNNNNNNNNNNNNNNNNNNNNNNNNNNNNNNNNNNNNNNNNNNNNNNNNNNNNNNNNNNNNNNNNNNNNNNNNNNNNNNNNNNNNNNNNNNNNNNNNNNNNNNNNNNNNNNNNNNNNNNAAUGUUCCUAUUAAAUUCCUUAAAUACUAAUCUAUUGGGUUAGAAUGUAAGUAAAUUCAUUUCCUAUUGGAUAAGUUCACAUUUUCGUUAUAUUUUCUACUAUUUAGGCUCAGUAAUUUCAACUAAUUAUUCCAUCAUUUUUGUGUUGAGUAUUUCCAUUAACUUUGUAAGAUUCCAAUUAUAUAGGUUAGAUACUAAAUUUUUAUUUUUUAUAAAUUUAGUUUUGUUAGAUUAGUAACUUAUUUUGGUUAAACUUAUAGGUUCGUUUAUUCACUUUUAAGUUCACUAUUUUCGUGUUUUAUAUUCCUACUAAUGUCGUUAAAUACCAAUAUUUUGAGUUAUAUUUUAAACAACUUUCAUUUCUAUGAGAUGAGUUCAUAAUUUUAGUUCAACCUCAUUUCAUGUGGGUUUAUAUAUUUCAACUAUUAUUCCACUAAUUUUGUUCAGAAUAUAAAAAUGGAAGAAAUAGUUAUUUUUUUUGUAAAUAAUGGAGGAUAUAAUUUAAUGAUAGAUAGUAAUACAAUUAAGGAUAACAUAACUAAAUAUAGACAAUAUUAUUAUUCAGAACAAUUGUAUUUAUCCGGAGAGCUCAUGAAAUUAGAAUUGGAGAACUCAUACUAAUAAAGAAUUGAAAUUUCAACAUAGAUCCUAUUCUCCUAUUCACAGUUAGGAGAGAGGUUUAUAGAAAUAAUUUUUCAUGGAAAUAAUGGAAUAUUAAUUAUGUUGAGGAUUAUAUAGAUGAACUUGUGAUUGAUUAUAAUAGAUUUUUAACUAUUAAGCAAAGAGAUGAAGACAAUUGGAAUAAAUAAAGGAUCAGAAGUGAAUACUAUCCUUCUAGCAACAUUCUAAUAGGAUACAAAGAUUUAAUUAUAUAUAAGCUUUGUUAUAUACAUAAAGGAUUAGAAGAAAACAAUAUUGCUAAGGAUAUAAAAAAUAUUAUAUAUCACAAAUACUUGAUAGAAUAUAAUGAAAUAUUAUACAGAUGGUAUUAUGAAUAUAUUACUAGAACCAUUGAUAAUUUCACAAAAUAUAGAAACCAAUAAAUUUCCACCUUCUCGCUAUAGGCAUAAAGGAUUUACUUAUGAAAGAUUUCAACCAUUUGAUUUGGUAAAUGAUUUUGAUAUGUAAGGAAGUAAUAAGUUAAACUAAAUUUCUCUAUAUUUAUUAAAUAAAUUUGGAAAUCCUAAUUGAACCAUAAAUGAUAUAGAAGAAAGUGCAAAUGAAAUACUUGAAAUUAAAAGCUUUCAAGUUAAAAUGUUAAAAGAUCAAAUGAGUGAAGAAUUUGAUUCACUCAAACAAUUAUAAAAGACUUCAAAAUUAAAGAUUAAGAUAGAUUGAAAUAAGAAAUCAUUAAUGUCAUGAACACAAAUUCAAUUGAAGAUAAAUUAAAUAAGAUAGAAAUUCAAUUACAUAAAAUUGGAAAAAUCGUUGAACAACUUGGUAAUAAGUGACACGACUCAAAAGUGUAUUACUCUCAAGUAUAAGAGUGUCUAGUUAUAAUAUAACCCGGUGAGACCGGGGUCGAACCACAUGGAGUUUUAAAUCUAGUAAAACUAAGAAAAUUAAUUGUGGGAAAAAGAAAUUAUUUGAAAUCAAUUUAAAAAUAAGCUAAGGUUUAGGAUCCACUCUCUGUAUUCAAACUAUAAUUUUAAUACUCUCUCAUUUAUAUUUUGCCUCACUUUUACCAAUUAAUUAUUAUAUCAUUUAAUUCUAUGUGUGUGGAUAAAUAUAGAAUAAAGUACCUAAUGUGCCACACUAUAUUAAUGUAUCGAUAUUAUGUCAAAAUACCAUAAAAUCCAGUGAGAUUUAUAAAUUAACAUGAUAUAAAAAUAAUUAGAAAAGAAUUAAAAAAAAUUCAUUUGAGAAAAUAAUAAUAAUUAAUAGUUUGAAAUAUUGAGCUUCACUCCUCACCUCAGUUUAAUAAAAUUAGCUACUCAUAUUGAAAGAAAACACAACACUUUUUUUAUUUGAUAAAAUUUUUGAAAUAUAUUACAAAGAAAAUUGAUACAAACGGAAAUAAGAAAAGAAAAGAAACAAAGAAAGAAAGAAAAUCUUCAGUCUCGGCUUCAGCUCUCAAAUUUUGCUCUCCAGCUUCUCCCCGCUCUUCAAUUUCUCCUCCCUUUUUAUAGGCAACAAUUGCCUUUAACUUUCUUUAUUUUAUUAUUUAUUUAUUAUUUUAUUAUUAUUUUAAAAUAUAUAAGUGUGUUGAAAUGUGUGAUGGUCAGGAGGCGUAAUGGCCUCCUGACAAUCACCAACGUGUUUUUGUUCUUUUAUUUUUUAUUUUUUGUUUUUAUUUUAUUGAUUAUUUACUAUUACAUUUCUUCAAUUUUGUUCCAGUUGUUCUUCUUUGUUCCCGCUUUCAAUUUCAAUUCCAUCUUUAUUCCUGAAAACUAUUUAUAAGAUAAAAAUUAACAAAUUACAAAUUAAUUUAACAUAAAAUAUAUUUGGGGAGUAUUAAAAUAAUUUAGAAAUAAUGAACGCAUUAAUCGACACAAUAAGUGAAAAACUAAUAAUUUUAUCCUUAUUAAAUGUACACUUUUUAGUGUCAAUCACACCCCCCAACCAGCUUAUUGUUAGGCCCUAGCAAUUUAAGCGAUAAAAGUUUAGUAAAAUUUCAAACUCAAAUUGAAAAUCAUUUUUAAAAAAAAUUGUGUUUACUUCUUCCAUCAGAUUAAUGACAACAAUCAAAUAAAAGUAUAAAAAUUAUCUUCAGCUUAAAGAAAAUCACACCCUUUCAAAACAGUUCAGUAAAAUCCUGUAAAAUGAUCAAUCAUCAGAGCUACAUUAAUCAAGCAACUUUUAAGAAUGAUACAUCAAACCCCAAAAUCUCACGAUUAGGAGUGACUAUCUCAAAAGAAGAUAUACUCCAAAUUAAUUUGUCACUCUAAAAAAAUGGUAAAUUUGAGAGAAUAAUAAAACAAUAUCACACGCUCUCACCAAUAUAAAAAUUAAUGCCCACAACUUAGAAAUAAAAUGAUAUCAAAUCCAAUGAAUUACUAGCAAAAUUUAUUUUUAUUUUUACUCAUCACCACAUCUUUUAGUCCAUAUUACCAGCUUUUACUUCAAAUUAUAGUUCCCAAAAAUCGAGAAAGACUUUAAUUAGGACGUAACGUAGGCUAGGGUUAUGGCUAACAAAAAAGAUAAUAGGGAAAAUAAAAAUAUAUGUUUGAAAAAUAGGGGACUUUUUGGAGAUUAUAAGGUGCUCUUUUUUUUUUUUUCAAAGGUUCAAAGGGGUUAACUAUGGAUUCUUUAUAAUAGGGUUGGCUAGAAAGGCUCAAACAGAUCAAAGAUAGCCUUCUGUCAUCUUUUAGGAUUCUAUAUAAUCUUUCAUAUCCACUAGUUCAAUGGACUUUUAUAUGCGGCUGCACAAACUUUUUUUUUUUAAUAUUGAGAUCUUGUACAAUAAAUUGUGAAGCUGUAUAGGCAAACAAGGUUACUCUUCAAGGAUAACAGGCUCAAAAACUCGCUUGGUCUUUUUAUAACAUGUACAUUCAUCCAAAUGGCUUAAUCAAUUUCACUCAUUCAAUUUCUCAAUUUAUAUUUCAACAUACAAAGGGAAAAACAUAGUGUAAUAUAACUCAAGGCCAAAGAUAAAACGAAUACCAAAAUUUGAAAAUCAUCAUGUUAUCCAAUGUUAAAAGAUCACACCAAAAAAGAAAAUAAUUUUUUUUUUAAGAAAGCACUAAAAAUUUGGGACUAAUUACAGAAACUUAAGGGAGAUGAUUAAGAGAAAAAGACCGAAAACAAAAAGUUAGAAACAUUUUUUUUUUGGAAGAAAACACAAAAAUUAAGAAAAUGCGUUUCUAGAGAUACUACAUUCUAUAUUCUAUCAUCUUCGACUUAAAUUUUUAUCCAAAGUUAGUCUUUACAACAAAAAUUAGUAAAAACAUCACUAGGAAUGAGACAUUCCACAAUUAUCGACUAUUCCCUCCCCCCAACCUAAAUGAGACAUUGUCCUCAAUGUCUAAAGAAAGGAGUAGAGUUUAGAAGAUAUCACCUAGACACUGUUGGAAAUAUUUACAGACGGAGAGUUAAAUCUAAUUUACACUUUUUACGAGAGUUACUGCCAUCGUUAUCAGUUGCCCAAUCCAACGCCAAAGUCAUGGGAUCUGGCUUUGGUUUGUAAGGUUGCAAAAGAUCAAGUAACUCAUUAGCAGUAUGAGCACAAAUGAAGAGUUUUUUCGCUAAUGAUGGAAUGAAAUAAUUUUUUAUUACAUGAUUAAGAAAUGUUAUUAAGCCAUCAUAAAAGUUAUUAACAUUUAACAAACCGAUUGGUUUUUUAUGGAUAUUCAAAUAGGCCCAGGAAGCAAAUGUAAUUAGCGCCUCCAAAGUUGCAAGGUCUCCUGGCAAGAAAAUAAAAACGUCAGCAUGAUUUAACAUUUCAGAUAUUCUUUCUUGCAUACCUGAGACAACUAACUCUUCUCCAAUUGGUGAGUCUGGUAGCCAUCCUAAAGGUUUUAAGGCUUUUGGAAUGAUGCCUAGCACUUGGCUUCCUCGAACGAAAGCAGCUUCAGAGACAAGCUUUGAUAACCCUCGGUCACCUCCUCCAUAUAGAAGAUGUAGUUUCCCCUCUGCUAUAGCACGACCAAGAUCUACGGCUACUGUUGUGCAAAUUUUAAUGUACUCGCAAGCGCACGAAUCUAUUGUAGUAUAGAUCAAUGGUGACGAGUGUCGAUCCCACGAGAAGGUGGAUUUUAAUUGUGUAGAAUUAAUUUUGUGAAUGGGUGAUUGGAUUUGUGGUGGAAAUGAUUUGGAAUAUGCUAAAACUUAAAUUAAAAUGGCGAGAAUAAAUUCUAUAAUUGGUAUUGAAAUGGUGAGAAUAAAUUGAAGAGAAUUCUAUUGAAAUGACGUACUUGGGUAUCUGGAUCCGUAUCAACAUGCAUCAUGGGCUAAAUAAUCCUUAUUAAUGCCAAUUAAAUCAUGAGGGGGGAAUCCACACCUCAUGAACCACACUCUAAUCAAUAUGGUGCUAAGGGCUUAUCGUGCCAAAUAAUAAUAACCUUGUACUAGAGGGCCGGUAAAACCAAGGCGGUACUAGACAAGAUUAGUAUUAUUUGUCGACGAGAAGUCAAAACAUCCACAAAAAUUAGAGGGGAAGAGAAAAUAAAUUUACCAAAUAAAGCCCAUGACACAUGUUGAGACUUCACCUUCAACCCAAGCUUGAAAGAAAAUUAGCCACUCAUAAUUGAACUAGGGGCAAAAUGAGAAUUUAUUAAAAUACGAAGAAAAUACAAGAUGGAGAAGGAAUUACAGAAAAUGGAUCCCAAAAAUGGAUUCAGAGCUAUCAAAUUAGAGGGGGGAGGCCCCCUUUUUAUAGAUACAUGGAGUAAAUCAUGGCCAUCGAAUUAAAAACAGUUUGGACGCUCAGGAUUGCGCCACGUCAUCAGUCAACAGUACGCGGUUUGACCACGCUGAUGAACAGUAACACGGUUUGACUCGGAUGAACAGCAACGCGGUUUGACUCGGAUGAACAGUAACGCGGUUUGGUUGAAAAUAAUCCAGUGUGAUGCAUGUACCGUACUCGAAAUUUUUCGUCCACUGAUAUGCUGCCACGUCACCAUCAACAGUACAUAAGAAUUUUAGCCCAACAGGAGCGUGACACCUCAUCAGUCAAUGCCACAUCAUCGGUCAAUGCCAUGUCAUCGAUCCGUCUAUGUGAACAGUGUCGUGAACAGUAAUGCAGACAGUACCGUACACGUGAAUAAUACCGUACAUAUGAAUAGUGUGAUUUUUCCUUUUAUACUCCUCCUAAGGUUUUCGACCGUCCUGAGUUCAAAAGUGAUGUCCGUUUUGCCGUCUGAUCUCUUCUUUAUUGUGAAAUGACUAUAAUGCUCCUAAAAUACAUAAAAUACUUAAUUAAAAUAAAACACAUGUAAUUAAAUCACAAGAAGGUUAAAUACAUAAAAGUAAGGGUUGGUAGUAAAACUUGAAAUGUAAAAUGACGGUUUUCUCCUUUAUAAAUAUGCAUUUUCUAAUACUCAACACACCCCCCAACCAGUUUAUUGCUAGUCCCUAGCAAAUAAAGCGAAAACAAAAUUCAAAUUCAAAAUAAUUUUUUUUUUAAUAGAAACACUCGUAUUUAUUCCAUUAGAUUAAUGAUAGCAAUCAAAUAAAAGUAUAAGCAUUAUCUUCAGUCUAAAGCAACAUCACACCCACAUCAACCAUCCACAUGAAUCAGCCCAGUAGACUUUAUUAUAGCUACUUUCAAGAAUGACAUGUCAAACCCCAAAAUCUCACUGGAAGUAGUGACACUCUCACAAAGAAAUUAAAACCAAUAAAAAUAGUCACUCCAAUGAAUGGUAAUUGAGAGAGAAAAUAAUAAAGAAGUGAUAUCACAUACUCUCACCAAGAUGAAAUAAAUAUGCCCUCAGUUUAGAAAUAAUAUG
rnacentral:lncRNA from 1 species